rnacentral:rRNA from 1 species
UGUUACCUACGGGGCGCAGCAGUGGGGGAUAUUGCACAAUGGGGGGAGCCCUGAUGCAGCGACGCCGCGUGGGUGAAGGAGCGUUUCGGCGCGUAAAGCCCUAUCGGCAGGGAAGAAGGAGGACGGUACCUGACUAAGAAGCCCCGGCUAACUACGUGCCAGCAGCCGCGGUAAUACGUAGGGGGCAAGCGUUACCCGGAUUUACUGGGUGUAAAGGGGGCGCAGACGGCAGCGCAAGCCAGGAGUGAAAGCCCGGGGCCCCACCCCGGGACUGCUCUUGGAACUGCGCGGCUGGAGUGCAGGGG